rnacentral:lncRNA from 1 species
AAUAUCAGAAAUAGACCGAGAUUGAAAAUAGUCCAAAAGUUAUAUAUAGAAUUUAUAAGAAUCCACAAAUAGUUAAUUCCACUAUCAGUCAUCAUCGUAUAACAAUUUUAAAAGGAACAAUUCAACAGAAAACAAAAACAUCUAUCUACAAACACAUUCAUUGAUUUGAGUGUCUGACGUCAGAAAAUUUUAUACGUCACAUAAAUUUGUCGUUCAAUGUGCAUACAAUCAAUUUUAAAAUUUACAAAGGCAACG